rnacentral:lncRNA from 1 species
AAAAAAAAAAAAAAAAAGGAGGACUCACAAAUCCUUUUUUCCCUAAUCUGUGGAACUUUCUGUGCCAAGAAAAGCAGCUUAAUUUUUUUGACAUAGCAAACUUUUUCUCCCAUGUCCAGCUCCAAUCUCAAGGAGGAGAAAACCAUCUAUCUUCAUCUGUGCUAGCAGGCUGCUCAGUAUGAGAACAUGGAGGACUGAAAUGAUUAAGCCUGACAGAACCCAACUCUCUGGAGAAACCCUUGAUUGGGAUUUGGAAGAUUGAAAGGUCAGUGUUCAACUCUGUCCCUACCUCUCCAGGUCUUCCUUUUUGCCUAUCCCAUAAGUUUCUAAAUGACUUUGAGGUUGGUGGGUGCGGGGAAGCCAUGAAGGUCAAUGCAAAUCUCCUGGGCUUUGAAAUCCUGACAUCCGGGUUAUAUCUCAGUUCUAUCAUUUGCUCGGCAUGUGGCCCCUAAACAAGUUAACCACCACUCUGAGCCUCAGUUUCCUCAAGUGUAAAAUAGGAAAGAUAAAAUCUACCUGCACAUUAAAAGUGACACAGUGUAUCUAAUUCAUGGGUCAAUUAUGGAGAGGAGUGUGUUGAAAUAUUUCACUAUGAUGGUGGAUUGGUUGAUUUCUUCUUGAAGUUCUGAUAAUGUAUACGGAGAACUUAGCACAGGGCAGGCAUGGUCGGCACUAAAUAAACACACACAUUUAACCGGCGGAAAGCUAACGUAGGGUGAUAGAUACAACAUUUUAUUUUUCACAGCCAUAAAAAAGAAAGAAAUCAUGUCCUUUGCAGCAACAUGGAUGCAGCUGGAGGCCAUUAUCCUAAGCGAAUUAACACAGGAACAGAAAACCAAAUAUUGCAUAUUCUGACUUACAAGCGGGAGCUAAACACUGGGUACUCGUGGACAUAAAGUUGGCAACAAUAGACAGUGGGGACUACUAAAGGGAAGAGGCGGAAGGAGGGAAAGGCAGAAAAACUAACUGCAGGGUACUAUGCUCAGUACCAGGAUGAUAGAUCAUUCGUACUUCAAACCUCGGCAUCAUGCAAUACACCCAUGUAACAAACCAGCACGUGUACCUCGUGAAUCUAAAAUAAAAGUUGAAAAAAAGUCAUAUGUGCUAUGUUUGAAUUCCAGCUUAUGCAUCUAUUAGCUGUGUGAGCUUUGAAAAAAAAAAAAAAAACACUUAAAUGAGUACUAGUUCUUCAUUUGUAGAAUGGUGGUAACAAUUCUAGAUAUAUGGUGGGCAUUCAGCAUUUCCUAUUUUUCCUGUAUUUCUUUUCAACUACUUCAAAGUUGAGGUAGUCAAUAGUGUGGACUCAGUAUAAUCGAUUAGGGCGAAAUGUGUUUGUCAUUUGUUGUUGCUUUGUUAUUAUUUUGCCCCAUGUCUUCUAAUGUUAAACUUUCCAAUUAAACAAAAUAUGGCAAAGCCUGAGACCACGCUUAGUUAACAAAAAGGUAAAAUCUAAAGGUCUUACUGUCCUGUAUGCCCCAGGUGGGGAUUAAGCCACAUAUAAAAGUGUGAACCUUAUCUCCUAAGAUUCAAUAAAUGUAUUUUAUUUUGUUAGAAAGCAAUUUCCUUCAGGCUUAGGUCAGAAUUUCUCUGAAAUAAAAUGGCAACAUAUCACUACUUUGUCACAAUUCUCAGUAAAUCAUUAGAGCUGUGAAAAAUAAAUUUCAUUUUUAACAAAACAUCUUUCUAGAUCAGGGUCAGCAAACUAUAUGGCCCGUGGGCUAAAUCUAGUACACUGCCUAUUUUUGUAUUUUUUACAUUUUAAAAUGUCCUUUUAGAAAAAUUAAAAGAAGAAGAAUAUUUUACAACACAAGAAAAUGAUGUGAAAUUCACAUUUCUGUGCCCAUAAAUAAAAUUUUAUUGGAACUCAGCCACACCUAUUCAUUUAUGUAUUAUCUUUGACUGCCUUCAUGCUACGAGAAUCGAAUAGUUGCAGCAGAGACCAUAUGGGCCACAAAGCCUAAAAUAUUUUCUACCUGGCCCUUUAUAUAAAAAGUUUUCCAUCUUCUGAUCUAGAUUCGAGAUCGAUGGUUUAUUUAAACUAUGUUAACUCUAAAAAACUGCCUCCAAGUUACCUCAAGUAAGAGGGAUUUAUCAUCAGGCUCCAGGUUUCCACAGAAAGAGCUGGGGCAAUCCUAGAGCAAGGUGCUGGCGUGCAGUAGGCUGCCGUCCUUGAGCGGAUGCCUCACUGACAGCGACGGAGUUCCAGCCAUGCUGCACUUGCUCCAGCCACUGACUUAGAGACAGCAACCUGUACAGGCACCAAGCAAAAGAAGAAAUCUGGAGAUCUCAAUGAGACCAGGAAAAUCUCUCUUCAAUAUUUCAAACCUUUCAAAAGCCAGGUUGGUUUUCAUUUCCUUAUCUUCCUACUGUUGACUGAGUUCUAGCUACGAGGUGCUGUGCUGAACACUUAGAUCCAUUGUGUCCUUGACUCUUCUUAAGAGUUCUGUGAGGUCAGUGUGAUUAUCUCCAUUUGACGGCUGAAUAAUCUGAGACUGAGAGAAAUUAAACAAUAUGUCUGCUUUCGUUUGUCCCCUCCAAAACUCAUGUUGAAGUUUGAUUCUCAGUGUGGCAGUAUUGGGAGGUGGGGGCUAGUGGAGAUGUUUGGAUCAUGGGGGCAGAUUUCUCAUGAAUAGAUUAGGGCCCUUCUUCUGGGCUGAGUUCUCGCUCUCAGGAAUGGAUUAGUUCUGGAGAGAGCAGGUUGCUAAGAAGAAUCUGGCUUCUUCAGUCAGCGCUCUUGCUUCCUAUCUCUCCAUGUGAUCUCUGCACAGACCCACUGCCCUUCUACUUUCCACCAUGAGUUGAAGCAGCCUGAUGCCCUCAGCAGAUGCAGCUGCCCAAUCUUGAACCUUCCAGCCACCAAAAUUAUAAGCCAAAUAAAUCUUUUCUGUAUAAACUACCCAGUCUCAAGUAUUCUGUUAUAGCAACACCAAACAAAGUAAGACAAUGUCCAAGGCCACCCACCUACAAAGUGUGGAUUUGAGGUUUUAAACUCAAUUUUUCUGACUUCAAGAGCCCCUGGUUCUACUCAUUAUACUCUACUAUCUCAUCUAUGCAUUUUUUUUCUAAGAAAUGGAAAGCAAAAGCAUGUACAUUUUAAAAUAAAGUCUGAGCUCUUGUC